AUGAAUGAACUGAGAGAUAGAUCCCUUUGGAUCUUGUCUUUUUUCUUCCUCUCCUUUCUCUCCCUUUUGUCUACCCCUCUCCCUCUCUCCACUUCCCUCUCUCUCACUCCCUCUUCCUCCACCUUCUUUCUUUCUCCUGCUCCCUCCCUCCCUCUCUUUCCUCUCCAUUUUGAAAUAAGAAGGAUUCAUGGCAACCUGCACAGGAUAGAAUGAAACAGAUCUGAGUCAAGAGGAGAAUCUCUGAGGAUAAUUUCUUCAAACAGACUAAAAUUGAAGCAUGGUUAAACAUGCAGAAUCUAGGUGGAAGUCUGGGAUCUCAGAAGAUACAAAAGAAGCUUUCCCUUGCACUGCAAGAUCACAUAUGGCAAAGGCUUCAAUAAAUAUCUCUAAUGGGCCUACUCUCUUCCUUAUAACUCAUCUGACAUUUUUGUGAUACAAGGGAGAACAGUUGAAUUGUUUGAAAAACUUGCCUCAGAAAGGGUGAGACAGAAAGCUCACUGGUGAAUUGAAAAGGUUUUCAUUGUACCGUUAUGGGACUGUUUUUAAAAGACUCUAUGUUCCUUGUAAAAUUCAUUCUUGAAUCAGAUUUGAUUUUUAGCAAACAAUUUCUUACCUAAUCUCAACCUCCAGACUUUAAUAUUCUAACAAUUACAUAAGUCCAUUGCAUUAAAAAGUUCUCAAUAGUUAUUUUUUUAGUUUUGAUAAGUUUUAACAAGACAAAAAGCUGACAAGUCUUAAAUUUGGUAAAAGGAGAUUUUGAAAAGGAGACUCCAAAAAUAAUGCAUUUAAAAUCUAAUUUAUAUGGUGCCUCAGAAGAGUUUCAAACAAAUGAAUAGUCUUCUAAGAAGUUAUAAAUUCAUGUCCGGGAUAGAAAUAUCUGUGAAUCACUAAAUUAUUUCUCUCAUAUUUGCUGGUGUAAAACUAGGGAAUAGCCAAGCAGCUUACAUUAUCAACUGCUUAUGAGGAUGCUAAAAUGAUAUACUUAACUGAUAUUUCCAUCUAGAGGCACUGUAUAAUUUUGUCACCAAAAAUAACUAUAGACUCAAGAAUAUAAGGAGGAAUAUUUUAUAUAGUGGCAUACAAAGUUAUGACAUUUAUCUGUCAUUUUCCCAUAUUAUUUAUCCUCAAAAGAGUUUGUUUCUUUACAUCAUGUGGAAGGAUAAUUGGUCCCAUAAAGAAGUAAUUAUUUAUAUCAACGAGGUAAUAAUAAAAGAGAAUGGCUCAUAAUCUACUGGACGUUGCAUGGCCUGUGAUGUCUCUUUCCUUCUAGUCACUUUCGAAAGCUCAAAUACCAACACCUUUGUAACUUCCUCCUUUUCCCCCAUAUACAUAGUCAAUUCUUCUUUUGUACUCCCUCAAAUGUUAAUUUGUACAUUGAUUUUCACAUUUACAUUACUGUAUUAUAAUUACCUACUUACGUUUAUGACCUGUCUGAUCAAUUUUAAAUUAGCAUUUUCUUCUCCCUUGUGUCUCGGUACAUUGUAUGCUGACAUAGAGCAGAUUCUCAAUGGAUGUUUGUUAAAGGAUGCAUUUUAUUUCCUCAGUAAAACCAUUUUAUGUCAUUAGACAAAUUCAAGUAUACAGUUAGAUUCCAGAAACUAUAGUCUACCAUAUAAUUAAAGGUAUUUCUGCUAUUUUAUGUCAUUGAACAAAUUCAAGUGUACAAUUAGAUUUCAAAA
rnacentral:lncRNA from 1 species